UACGGGGGGGGCAAGCGUUGUUCGGAAUUACUGGGCGUAAAGGGCUCGUAGGCGGCCAACUAAGUCAGACGUGAAAUCCCUCGGCUUAACCGGGGAACUGCGUCUGAUACUGGAUGGCUCGAGUCCGGUAGGGGAGUGCGGAAUUCCCGGUGUAGCGGUGAAAUGCGCAGAUAUCGGGAGGAACACCAGUGGCGAAGGCGGCACUCUGGGCCGGAACUGACGCUGAGGAGCGAAAGCGUGGGGAGCGAACAGG
rnacentral:rRNA from 1 species